UCGAAAUAAAUCAAUUGAAAAGAUAAUAAGCAUACAUUUUUUAUCACUUCUGUUUUACUGGUAAUGUUUGCUUGAUGCUAUUUUUGGUACAUAAUUGAUGACUCCCUGCGUAUAUGAGAGGAUAGCUAUAUCCUGAUUGUUCCCAUUUCCGUAAUUUCGGAACCAUCGCAUGAACACUGAAAUUAUUUCCCAGCAAAACUGGAGCAGAAUUCCUAUCUCUCUUGUCCAUUAUAUUGUUUGGGUAACAAAUUGUAGGAGUAGAUGCAGUUAGUAUCACCAAGUACAUUAUAAGAUACAAACAAUAGGAGAUGCAGUUACUUUGCUUGAUUUCAGUUUUUAUAAACCAUAUAUGAAAGAGUUAUUGGCAAAAAAAUGUAAUACACUAGGUACAACAAACAAAAAUAAAGAACUUUCUUCACUACUAAUAGCAGCAGCAAGCUUUGCGUGAUCUCAGAAUCUUGCAAUAGGUGAGGACUUCUAUGUUAAGGGGAUGGUACAGUGAGAGGAUCGCCUAUGAACAUUAUGAAAGGAAAUUCAGUCACAUCAAUACAUGUAAUCCAGCGUGGAUACUAAUUUACAAAUGAUUGCCUGAAUCAUUGCAACUUGUUCUGUGCAGUAUGCAUAUUACUUUUUCAAAUGAAUAUCUGAUCGAUUUAAUUCUCAAAAUGUGGAUAUGGGUUUCUCCCCUUCUCACUGGGAAGAAUAGUAUUAUGUUGUUUCAGUUUUGCCACUAUGGAUGUAGUCAUGUAGAACUCUCCUACACUCCAACAGUUUCAGUACUUUUAGUUGGAUAUGGGUUUAUCCUUAUGGUGGCGCUUCUCUUCACUGGCUUGCAUGCUUUCCAGCAAUACUCAAGGGGCGAGUGCCUUACAAUCACAAUUUAUUUUGAUGUAUUAACCAACUGGGGGUCUGCUGGCUGUUUAGCCCUCUUAGAAUGCUGCCUAGCAUACAUGGGGUGCUCGAUAGGACAUGCAAUUUUUUGCAGCACUUCUUCUGGGGGAUCAUAAGUGUAGCCAAUAUUUCUCUUAACCUUGCAGAGAUACUUGUGAUAUGCCCAUUGAUCUUUGGCUGGUUGCUUUUGAUAAGUUGAUAUCUGCAUUUCAUAAUUGUUUGGUGUGAAAAUACCUCAGAAGACCCAACUUCUAUUUGCUUCAUCAUUUGCUUCUAAUGCCAUUCUCUGGCUUAUUGGAUGCAUCUGUUUGAAGCUUCACUACUCACUUUCCAGUCUUCUUCUCCCGGUGUGUCAAUUGUCAUACUAUAGUUUUGGUUCAGCAUGUCAGUAUGUAUGUUUUUUUUGUUGUUUCAGAAUUUAAACAGUGGAAUGCAUGUGUUUUGCUUGUCAAUAGGUAUUGAGGCUAGGAGUUAGUGCCCUUGUCGACACUACUGGAGGCCAAAUCAAGAUAGGGGAACCAUUCUGCAACUUUUAUUUCAAGAUUCUGCUGGGUCUUUUUCAGUGCUAUCUAUGUUGCAAUGGUCAUUCUUGUUCCUGUUGAAAUUGCUUUUCAUUUGGCACCUACUGUGUUCCCGUCAGACAUAUCACCUACUUUGAUCCUCCAAUUCAGGGCAGAUGGUGUCUGGGCCCUUUGACGGCGAUGAGGUCGCGGACCGGCUCACCUCCAACCAUAGUUAUUAGAACCGGACCGGAGAUCGAACCGGCGAGGCCGUCGGUUCAAUGGUUCAUUGGUCCAACCGUUCAGAACCAGUUGAACUGCUGGUUCGAUUGUUUUGGACCGGUAAAUUGAACCGGGUACAAAUACUUUGAACCGGUAUAUAUAUAAUUAAUAAUUAAUAGUGAAAUAAUGUCCAUACAUCAUGUAAA